rnacentral:lncRNA from 1 species
GCGGAAACCAGCGCCAUCUUUGAGGCACAGCAAGUCGCAGCUCCCUACACCAGACAAGCCUUUAGGUGAGCAGUUUUAUCACAUAUUUCUUGCUGUGCAAUAUGGGGCAGUCUUGCCUGGGCUCCUGUAUUUGUUACAGCACAGAGAGCUAACUACUAAAGCAAGCACCGACUCCUGUUCUGCUGGAAAUAGCAACAAGCUAAAAGGGAUCAGAUGUCUGCUAAUGUCUGUUAAGCUUUGUGGAGGAAUGGGGGGGUCAGCACCGCACCAUCCAGCAAAAUAAAAUUAAAACUUUCUGUUA